rnacentral:lncRNA from 1 species
UGAAGAGCGGGAAAUCUAGAUCCCAAGCAUGCACAAUUCACUAUAGGGUUCAGGCUUCUAUGGGGAUCUAAUGUCCUGCUGAUCUGAAAGGAGGAGGAGCUCAGCAGGCAAUGUGAGCAGCUGCAAACACAGAGGCAGCUUUGCUUGCUAGCCUGCUGCCCAUCUCUUGCUUUGCUGCCCAGUUCCUAACAAGUCACAGACCAAUAUCAACGUUUGGAGACCUCUGCUCUAAUUGAAAUCCAUCACACGCCUCCUUGCUCAAAUGUAUUUAUUCAGCAUUCAUUGAGCACCACUCAUAUCUCAGACACUGUAGAUCUAAGACCUGUAAAACCAGAACUCCCACUACCAAAGGCCCAUAAUGUCAAAGGGAGAAGGCGAGAAGUAAUAUCAAAAUUGCAAAGUAGGGCAGUAAGUGCUACAGAGCAGACAUGUAGGAGGAGGACCUGGUCACGAUGGACCUCAAGAGGAGAGGCUGGCAAUUAAGCCUUCAGCGCAUGUUCUUAGGGGGAACCACAGAUCUGACCCCUUACAGUGGGUGUCCAGCUCACCCCUGCAGAAUGGCUGCAUGGCUGGAGGGCCCUUCCAUAGUGGAGGGUAGACACACUCACUCUCAGAAGAUGGAAGAGGACCACUCAUCCUGUUAUCUUCCUUCAGCAGGCAUUUUCUCAGGAGAUACAGUCAUCUACCAGACUUGCUAUCACCUGCAUCCUAGAAACUUUGUGGUGCAGGGUGAUUAUAUUUGCCAUCAUCCUCUCCACACCCCUAUCUACUUUGGACAUCUGUGGGUCAGGUCCACGUGCACGGUGGACAGGUCACAUCACACUGGGUCCUCAGGUACAAGGCAGGUAUGACCAGGCCUUCUUUAAUAAAAUCUAUUCUGUGCAAGGAUUAAUAGAACUAC